AGGCCAGAGCAAUUGACUCUGUGCCUGCCCUUUAAAAAUGCCCCGAGGUGCACGAAUCUCAGAUUUUAUAAUGAAGCAUGGAAAUUGAGUCAGAAUUGCCUGUUCUCAAGCAGCGUGGAUUCAGACAAUUCUUUCCUUAGUUCCCUUAGACAUCUCCACUAUCAAAGUCCAAUGCAGUGUCUUUUCAUGGUUAAAGUUACAUGGAAAAGCUUGUUAAUUGUGCAAUCUCUCUUUAUGCCUUAAAAUUAUUCUAAGCGACAAAAUUUUAGUAUGCUGUUCACUUUAAAUUCAGGUGGUAUUAUAAAUCUAGUGCUAAGGUGCUUAGCAAUCGUAUGUGCAAGAUUAAUCACAUUCCAAGCUGCAGGGGAGAACAAAGGCCCAAAGGAACAAUGUUUUAAUAGGAUGAGUAAUCUAUUUAGGAAACAAAUUUGUGUGAACCUUCACACCUUUUUGCCUCAAAUACUUUCACACAUAAUUGGCUUCUCAGUCUGUUCUCUUUCUAGUUUCUCAAAAAAGAAGGAAACCAUCUGUUUCUGUGAGUACAAGAUCAGUCUAGUCAUUCUGACUCCCAAAUCAAAAUCACUGUGAGACAAAUUUCUCAAAAUGCUGAAACAACCAGAAAUGGAAUUGAAUGUGAUAUGUAAGACUUACUGCUCUAUAGUAAUACACUAUUACUUUAGGACAGAAAGAUGCAACUAAAGGUCUAAGCAGUCUGGAGAUACAAUGAGCUACCCAAAAAAAUAAAGCAAUUUAGUAUUUUUAAUGAUAAAACAGUAAGUGAAGGGUUGUUGUAUGUUUUCUGGGCUGUAUGGCCAUGUUCUAGAAGUAUUCUCUCCUGACAUUUCGCCCACAUCUAUGGCAGGCAUCCUCAGAGGUUGUGAGGUAUGGAGAAACUAAGCAAGGAAGGUUUAUAUAUCUGUGGAAAGUCCAGGGCGAGAGAAGAACUCUUUGUCAGUAGGAGGCCAGUGUGAAUGUUGUAGUUAAUCACCUUGAUUAGCAUUGAAAAGCUUCAUCUCCUGGCUCUUUCUGCCUGGGGGCAUCCUUUGUUCAGAGUCGUUAGUUGCCCCUGGUUCCCAUGUCUGGAAAUCCUCUGUUUUCAGAGUGUUGCUUCUUAUUUACUGUUCUGAUUUUUGAGUUUUUUAAAUACUGGUAGCCAGAUUUUGUUCAGUUUCAUGGAUUCCUCCUUUCUGUUGAAGCUGUCCACAUGCUUGUGGAUUUUGUUAUGGUUGAGCCUUAUGGCUCCGAUACUGGGAGACGUGGUCGUAAGACUCCUCGGGAGUCAGAUACUCUCGAGGAGCGAGAAAGGAAGCGGCUGCGGGACUUAUUUGCAGAACCAUCUGACGAGGAUUCCUUUGAGGGUUUUACUGAGAGAAUGGAGGAAGAGAUGGUUAGCUCAGAGGAGGAUGACAUGGAAUGGACUCGUGUGAGGGAGGAUUUGGGUGCCACUGGCAAUGGUAGUAUGGAAGGCGAUUGGGGACCUUCAGGAUUAGACCCGUGGACAAGCUGGAGGGAUGGGACGGGAUCCACAGCUGGGGAUGCUGUGGGGCGUAGUCAAAGGUGUUUCAGUUCUGAUGAGGAAAGUGAUGAGGAAACGCCUGAAAUUAGGGUAACAGCUGAUAGUGAUGAGGAGUUGUAAACUAGCAUAAAAUGGGGUUUGGAAGCAAUGGCUAAUUGCGUUGGGCAAGGUAAUCUAGACGAACGCUUGGGCUCUGUGUGGGAAAUUCCUGAAGACGGGUGUGAUUCGUUUGCUGACUACCUUGGACCUCCGUCGUCUUCUUGACGGACGCCAUCUGUUUAUUCUGGACUGACUGACUGACUGACUGACUACGGCCUCGGACUCUCCUUCCUGUGAUUAUCGUUGGACCUGGUGAACUACAAACAUCUGUACCUGCCUUACGACCUUCGGACCGGAUUGGAACUUCGCUGACCGCUUCUGCCCUUGAAUGCUGUGUUUGUAUCUGGAAAUUGCUUGCUGUGUGGAGGAGUAACCUCUUAGUUACUCAAAUAUAGCUUUUGGCAGCAGAGAAGCAUCUGCUGCCAGUUUUUUGUAUUCCUUUGAAUCUUUUGUUCACCAGCUUUUGUUUGUUUAAGUCCCAGGCUGAAGUAAGCUUUUUUGGUUUAACCCGGAUUAAACUCUGGUUUAAUCCGGUUUAUCUUUUGAGCAUUUUCCUUGUGUCUUUUUACUUUUAAGGCCAGUGUUUGCCUAGCCCUUGUCUUUUACGGGCAUUUUUGGUUCUGUAACUCCAAUAAACUUUGUUAUAUCUUA